rnacentral:rRNA from 1 species
UACGUAGGAGGCAAGCGUUGUCCGGAAUUACUGGGCGUAAAGCGAACGUAGGCGGUGUUCCAUGUCAGAGGUGAAAGCCUGGGGCUCAACUCCAGAAUUGCCUUUGAAACGGGAACGCUUGAGUCCGAGAGAGGGUGGCGGAAUUCCUAGUGUAGAGGUGAAAUUCGUAGAUAUUAGGAAGAACACCAGUGGCGAAGGCGGCCACCUGGCUCGGUACGUGACGCUCAGGUUCGAAAGCGUGGGGAGCAAACAGG